CUCGGUGAAGACGCCUUCUACAGCCACAAAUAUACGCGGGAAGCUGUCACACCGCUUUUCUCUGUCACACCUCUCUGUUUUAAAUACCGGGAAAAUCACCUGGCUAGACAGGAAGGCGACGACUUUUGAAACGAGGUUCUGUCUCUGUGGCUCCAUCAGAACUGCCACAAUAAAUACGUGGGGUGAAACAGGAAAAGAGCCUCACGCCUAUGCGAGAGGGUGGGGGACGCGCUGACACGGGCAGAGGCAGCGCUAAUCAUUACCCGCACGCCGGUAAUCAUUACCCGGAGCGCCGCCGCCACUACACACACGCCAGAUCGCUUCAAUUUCUCCGUGCCAGCUCCCGGCACCGAGAGCUGGCGGCGAGGAGGAGAGCUGCAUGGCGAGCUGGCCCCAGCGCAGCCAGGAGCGGGAGUUCUGGAGGGAUGGCUGCUGUGGCGCGGCUCUCCUCAGUGCUGGACGCUCAGGGCACAGCUCCUGCUGCAAGGCGCCUUCAGCCGCUGAGACUCCGCCAAAGAAAUGGGCACGGGCACCGCGACAUCCCCGUGUCUCCUUUUGCGACAAAAUCGGGACCAUCCGCAGCUGGCAGCCAUUGUAACCUCGGACCAAUGUGCUGACUCUUCUUCCUGUAGCAGACAGCUCAGGCUAAGCCCAAGCAAGCUGCCUUUGCAAGGGAUACCAGAGGGUGACAACCACACCUCUGUGUAGACAAAUAUACCCAAGUGUGACAGAACAUCUGCCAUCAGUCGCCCUUUCAUUUAGGAUGGGCUUUAAAAGCAAGCUCCUUGACGACUUGUUGUAACAGAUCUUUCAGUAUUUUGCUGAGAAAGGUUUAGCUUUCUGAUGCUAAGUUCUCAGGUGGUUGCAAUCAGUUCCCCUUUCAAGCCUUGAUGGAUUCUGCACUGCAGUAGCAUCUCAAAUUUAUAAUUUCUAAAUACGUUCAAAUUAAUAGGAGUCUACUAAUUGAUCUCAAUACUUGCUAGUCUGGACUGGGCCCACAGGCUCACGUUCAGCAGCUACUUCAGCAGAAUCAAAACCAUGAGUGGGAGCCACAUCAGAUAGUCAGAUCUGAGUAUCUGCUAAUUUCCAUGAGAUUUUUUACAACUUUUGGCAAUCAUCUGGCUGGUUUCAGCGAAACAAGGCUAUUCACAUUCAAUUAUCAAAUACCAAAAUUCUGCCAAUUGCCUUUGUGUGAGUCUUUGGCAAACCAGACAGUUCAAUGUGGUUAUGUGGGCUUUUACUAAUAAAUGCUGGACAGCAUUAAAAGCA
rnacentral:lncRNA from 1 species